GACAGAGGCCUCGAGCGUUAGGCGGAAUCACUGGGCUUAAAGCGUGUGUAGGCGGGCCCGUCAGUACCUUGUGAAAUCCCACGGCUCAACCGUGGAACCGCUGGGUAUACUGCGGGUCUUGGGCCGACUAGGGGCAGCCGGAACAAGCGGUGGAGCGGUGAAAUGCGUAGAUAUCGCUUGGAACGCCGAAGGUGAAAACAGGCUGCUGGGGUCGCGCCGACGCUGAGACACGAAAGCCAGGGGAGCAAACGGG
rnacentral:rRNA from 1 species